AAGGGCCUAUGAUGAUUCAAAUUUGCCAACAUCGUUUGAGAAACCAAUGAUAACGAACUUUUUACAAUAAUGUAUUCUGAGGCCUAA